AAUCUACUCCCUCCGAUUCAUAUUAAUUGUCUCAAAUUUUUCCAAAUAUGGAUGUAUCUAUGCCUAAAAAGUGUCUAGAUACAUUUAAUAUUUCGACAAUUAAUAUGGACCGGAGAGAGUAUUUU
rfam:Brachypodium distachyon strain Bd21 chromosome 3, whole genome shotgun sequence.